rnacentral:lncRNA from 1 species
AUCUGGACCUGGAGCUCUCGAUAGUCUGGAGAGCUCAGGAAGGGACUGGGGGACCCAGGAACCAGCCCUUCCCACCUCACAUCUGGACCUGGAGCUCUCGAUAGUCUGGAGAGCUCAGGAAGGGACUGGGGGACCCAGGAACCAGCACCUUCCACCUCACAUCUGGACCUGGAGCUCUCGAUAGUCUGGUGAGCUCAGGAAGGGACUGGGGGACCCAGGAACCAGCCCUUCCCACCUCACAACUGGGCCUGGAGCUCUCGAUAGUCUGGAGAGCUCAGGAAGGGACUGGGGGACCCAGGAACCAGCACCUCCCACCUCACAUCUGGGCCUGGCCGUGUCCAGAGGUGUAGCUCCACCUUGGGAGUUGUGGCAAAGGUGGCUGGAACCCGGAGACACGGCCUGCACCUGCUGGAGCCAGACGUCCCCAGAGCUUCCCCUGCCUCCUUCGGGGAGCCCCCUCUGGGAUGUCUGAACCCUCUUCCUCUGGCCUCAGGAAGGAAGGCUGGGCCUCUGCAGAAAGUGGAGUGUGGGGUGUGGGAGGCGCAUCCUUACCGCACCAGAGCUGGCAUGGCUGAGCUUGUCAAAGCGGAAUUUCAGGUUCGAUCUCGGGGAGUUUCUGCUUUUGGCAUCUAAGAAAAAGAACGGCCAUGAAAGGAGGGUGGAGCUGUGGAGGCCACUGGGGCUGUGUGUGGGGACUGGCUAGGGAGGCCAGGGGAAGGGGGCCUCCUGCCCUCCACCAGGACCAGGCACCCUAGCUGACCUGUGCCGACCCACGAGAGCCAACUCCUAGAUUAUAGAAUUGUGGUGAGCUGGUUGUUCAACUCAGGCCAUUUUUUAAAGUUGAAUUAUAUAUAAGCUUACAGUUCAAUAAAUUAUAUUCAACAGAGG